rnacentral:rRNA from 1 species
UACGGAGGGUGCAAGCGUUAUCCGGAUUCACUGGGUUUAAAGGGUGCGUAGGAGGGCAGGUAAGUCAGUGGUGAAAUCCUGGGGCUUAACCCCAGAACUGCCGUUGAUACUAUCGGUCUUGAAUGUCGUGGAGGUGAGCGGAAUAUGUCAUGUAGCGGUGAAAUGCUUAGAUAUGACAUAGAACACCGAUUGCGAAGGCAGCUCACAAAACUGUAACUGACGCUGAGGCUCGAAAGUGCGGGGAUCAAACAGG